AUUGAACGCUGGCGGCAGGCCUAACACAUGCAAGUCGAACGAGUGGCGGACGGGUGAGUAAUGUCUGGGAAACUGCCUGAUGUAGGGGGAUAACUACUGGAAACGGUAGCUAAUACCGCAUACCAUCGGAUGUGCCCAGAUGGGAUUAGCUAGUAGGUGGGGUAACGGGUCACCUAGGCGUCGAUCCCUAGCUGGUCUGAGAGGAUGACCAUCCACACUGGAAAUGAGACACGGUCCAGACUACUAAGGGAGGCAGAAGUGGGGAAUAUUGCACAAUGCGCGCAAGCAUGAUGAAGCCAUGCCGCGUGUAUGAAGAAGGCGUUCGGGUUGUAAAGUUAUUUCAGCGGGGAGGAGUUACCCGCAGAAGAAGCACCGGCUAAGUCCGUGCCAGCAGCAGCGGUAAUAA
rnacentral:rRNA from 1 species